CCUACGGGAGGCAGCAGUGGGGAAUAUUGCACAAUGGGGGAAACCCUGAUGCAGCCAUGCCGCGUGUGUGAAGAAGGCCUUCGGGUUGUAAAGCACUUUCAGCGAGGAGGAAAGGUUAGUCGUUAAUACCGGCUAGCUGUGACGUUACUCGCAGAAGAAGCACCGCCUAACUCCGUGCCAGCAGCCGCGGUAAU
rnacentral:rRNA from 1 species